AGUCGACGGCACACGGGAGCANNNNNGGUGGCGAGUGGCGAACGGGUGAGUAAUAUAUCGGAACGUGCCCAGUCGUGGGGGAUAACGUAGCGAAAGUUACGCUAAUACCGCAUACGAUCUAUGGAUGAAAGCGGGGGAUCGCAAGACCUCGCGCGAUUGGAGCGGCCGAUAUCAGAUUAGGUAGUUGGUGAGGUAAAGGCUCACCAAGCCGACGAUCUGUAGCUGGUCUGAGAGGACGACCAGCCACACUGGGACUGAGACACGGCCCAGACUCCUACGGGAGGCAGCAGUGGGGAAUUUUGGACAAUGGGCGAAAGCCUGAUCCAGCAAUGCCGCGUGCAGGAUGAAGGCCUUCGGGUUGUAAACUGCUUUUGUACGGAACGAAACGGCGAGCUCUAAUACAGUUUGCUAAUGACGGUACCGUAAGAAUAAGCACUGGCUAACUACGUGCCAGCAGCCGCGGUAAUACGUAGGGUGCAAGCGUUAAUCGGAAUUACUGGGCGUAAAGCGUGCGCAGGCGGUUCUAUAAGACAGGCGUGAAAUCCCCGGGCUCAACCUGGGAAUUGCGUUUGUGACUGUAAGGCUAGAGUACGGCAGAGGGGGAUGGAAUUCCGCGUGUAGCAGUGAAAUGCGUAGAUAUGCGGAGGAACACCGAUGGCGAAGGCAAUCCCCUGGGCCUGUACUGACGCUCAUGCACGAAAGCGUGGGGAGCAAACAGGAUUAGAUACCCCGGUAGUCCACGCCCUAAACGAUGUCNNNNNNUUGUUCGGUCUUCACUGACUCAGUAAC
rnacentral:rRNA from 1 species